rnacentral:rRNA from 1 species
AGUGAACGCUGGCGGUAGGCCUAACACAUGCAAGUCGAACGGCAGCACAGGAGAGCUUGCUCUCUGGGUGGCGAGUGGCGGACGGGUGAGGAAUACAUCGGAAUCUACUCUGUCGUGGGGGAUAACGUAGGGAAACUUACGCUAAUACCGCAUACGACCUACGGGUGAAAGCAGGGGAUCUUCGGACCUUGCGCGAGUGAAUGAGCCGAUGUCGGAUCAGCUAGUUGGGGGGGUAAAGGCCCACCAAGGCGACGAUCCGAAGCUGGCCUGAGAGGAUGAUCAGCCACACUGGAACUGAGACACGGUCCAGACUCCUACGGGAGGCAGCAGUGGGGAAUAUUGGACAAUGGGCGCAAGCCUGAUCCAGCCAUACCGCGUGGGUGAAGAAGGCCUUCGGGUUGUAAAGCCCUUUUGUUGGGAAAGAAAUCCAGCUGGCUAAUACCCGGUUGGGAUGACGGUACCCAAAGAAUAAGCACCGGCUAACUUCGUGCCAGCCGCCGCAGUAA